rnacentral:lncRNA from 1 species
GGUGAUUUAGCAUGCAUAUUGUAGUCUUUAUGGUGGUAGCUAAUUCCCGUGGUGAGGAAUUAGUGAGUUGGUGGUAGCUAAUUCCCGUGGUGAGGAAUUAGUGAGUUGGUGGUAGCUAAUUCCCGUGGUGAGGAAUUAGUGAGUGAGUCACUAGGUCUCAAAUGAGUGGGACUAGUGGGCUUGGUAGCCGUAUCUGGAUUUGAUCGGUGAGGUGAACUAUAUGUUCA